GACGAACGCUGGCGGCGUGCUUAACACAUGCAAGUCGAACGGAAAGGCCCUGCUUUUGUGGGGUGCUCGAGUGGCGAACGGGUGAGUAACACGUGAGUAACCUGCCCUUGACUUUGGGAUAACUUCAGGAAACUGGGGCUAAUACCGGAUAGGAGCUCCUGCUGCUUGGUGGGGGUUGGAAAGUUUCGGCGGUUGGGGAUGGACUCGCGGCUUAUCAGCUUGUUGGUGGGGUAGUGGCUUACCAAGGCUUUGACGGGUAGCCGGCCUGAGAGGGUGACCGGCCACAUUGGGACUGAGAUACGGCCCAGACUCCUACGGGAGGCAGCAGUGGGGGAUAGUGCACUAUGGGCGGAAGCCUGAUGCAGCAACGCCGCGUGCGGGAUGACGGCCUUCGGGUUGUAAACCGCUUUCGCCUGUGACGAAGCGUGAUUGACGGUAAUGGGUAAAGAAGCACCGGCUAACUACGUG
rnacentral:rRNA from 1 species